GACGGAGGGUGCUAGCGUUAUUCACCAUGACUGGGCGUAAAGGGCAUGCAGACGGCAUUUUGUAAACGUUUUUAAGUUAAAUCAUGAAUUAUUACAAUUCAUAAAACUUUUUUUGUAGACUACUAUGCUAGAGUUUAGAGCGGGAUUAGGGUAUUUUUGAUGUAGAGCUGAGAUGCAUAGAUAUCAAUAGAGACCGUCAAUCGGUAAAGACGCUAAUCUAGCCUCUUCUGACGUUAACGUGCUAAAGUAUGGGUAUCGAUCGGG
rnacentral:rRNA from 1 species